GACAGAGGGUGCAAACGUUGUUCGGAAUUACUGGGCGUAAAGCGCGUGUAGGCUGCUUGGAAAGUCGGAUGUGAAAGCCCUGGGCUCAACCCAGGAAGUGCACUCGAAACUUCCGAGCUUGAGUUCUGGAGAGGAAGGCGGAAUUCUCGGUGUAGAGGUGAAAUUCGUAGAUAUCGAGAGGAACACCGGUGGCGAAGGCGGCCUUCUGGACAGUGACUGACGCUGAGACGCGAAAGCGUGGGGAGCAAACAGG
rnacentral:rRNA from 1 species